GGUCGCGUGGCGAAGUGGUUUAUCGCGCUGGUCUUACACGGCAGAUUCCUCCGGCCCCUAGUCCUGAACUGGGCAAAGGAAGCUAUCCCGAUACAUCAGAUGUCCUCGGUUCAAACCCGAGCGUGAUCA